GACGAACGCUGGCGGCGUACCUAAUACAUGCAAGUAGAACGCUGAAGAGAGGAGCUUGCUCUUCUUGGAUGAGUUGCGAACGGGUGAGUAACGCGUAGGUAACCUGCCUUGUAGCGGGGGAUAACUAUUGGAAACGAUAGCUAAUACCGCAUAACAAUGGAUGACACAUGUCAUUUAUUUGAAAGGGGCAAUUGCUCCACUACAAGAUGGACCUGCGUUGUAUUAGCUAGUAGGUGAGGUAAUGGCUCACCUAGUCGACGAUACAUAGCCGACCUGAGAGGGUGAUCGGCCACACUGGGACUGAGACAAGGCCCAGACUCCUACGGGAGGCAGCAGUAGGGAAUCUUCGGCAAUGGGGGCAAACCUGACCGAGCAACGCCGCGUGAGUGAAGAAGGUUUUCGGAUCGUAAAGAUCUGUUGUAAGUCAAGAAAGGGUGUGAGAGUGGAAAGUUCACACUGUGACGGUAGCUUACCAGAAAGGGACGGCUAACUACGUG
rnacentral:rRNA from 1 species